UUCUCCGCCCAACUGCUGCCCUCUGCCGGCCCUGCGGCCUAGCGGUUCCUCAGUGCCUUGGGGUGUGUGGUUCCGGGUCCCUCUGUUCUCCUUCCAGCCCUCUCUUCUCAUUCCAACCACACCCGGAAACACUUGGGAUUUUCGGUCUGGAAGCAACUGCCAUCCCGUCUGACCCCCAAGUUGAGCUUCCACCUCUAUUCCUUCUCCUCAACAAGCGGCCUAUUAGAUAGUAGAGAUGGCGGAAAAGAUGGGUACCAAUCAAGAAGCUGGACAGCUCUCUCCAGAUAGGCUUAGAGGGAAUCAUUGGGCAACUAUUGGAGCCCCAUAUAGAAAGAACUUUCUAAGACUUUCCGCCUCAUCCCUGUGAAAGCCUCACAAACCUUCUCCAUUUUGUAUCCUUCAAUUUUUUCCAUGGAAGAUUCUGAACUUCUGAGCAACUGCUUCUUUCUCCCCUCAUGUCGUUUUCACAACCCCUUGACUCAGAACCAUUUUUUAGCUUAUACAGAAAACAUGGAUUUUAAAUAUGUUCAACGAAAGUUGCCUAAUGAUUGGUGCUUAGGUGCUGUGUAGACAGACAGAAUGCUGUGGUCUUACUGAGUUUGUGAGACCAGAUGCAGGCACUGAGAAUUCAGAUUAUCUGCCUGACGUGACCUGAGUGGAGUGCUUCGUAGAGCAGCAAUGGCCUUAAUUUAGGUGGUUGAGAGAUUUCCGUUCAUGGAGAAUAUCAGUGGCCAAAGACUUUGUCUUAAUAACAGAAUCUGCUCGUGAGAAUCUCUUUUUGUUUACGCUGUAGAAGACCAGAUACUGAGGAAGAAGGAGGAGAACUUGGUGGAGAGGUGGCUCCGUUGACAUGUGCAUCACCAACUCUAAGAAGGGCUGCUCUCAGAAGUGCAUCAAGGGCAGGACCGGUGCUCCAGCCAGGCAGAGGCCGAGAAUCUGGGAAGCUGACCUUUGAGCGGCUGUGACCAGAGAAGUGAAACCCGCCCAGGUAGAAGUAGGCACACUGCAGGCAGAGUGUGCAAAGCACCAGGACAGAGCUGUUGGAGAAAGUUCAGAGAGCAUUAGAUGCAGCCAGAGGAGCAGGAAACCAGGCUGCUAAGGCAGUUAAGCCCAAGUUGUGGGGACGCCAAUGUUUGUGGGGACCUUAAUGCUGAGGUUCUGAGAAGCCAACAGAAACUUUUGAGGAAGAAAGAAAAUGGGGGAAACUUGUGUUGGGACCCACAGCUGAAUAGGUCUGGAAGGACGGUCACGUACUAGAAACCACUGGUUUUGAGUGGUCUCACAUCAUAAGCCUGAGUUUCCACUUCUGACCUAUUUCUUACUUGCUAGCUCCAGUUUGAAAGGACAGUAUCCACGGACCGUAAGAUUGUCAACAUUUGUUACACAUAGAUGGACUUCUGUCUUGGACGAUAAUGGAGGCUACUCCCAGAUCAUGCUCAAUGACAGCCGGUUUAAUUGUUCCCUCAUGACUCCUUCCCCAUGACACUUUGUAAUCACACAGUGGGUGAUCAGCACAGGAUCUGAGUCCUCUGUUGUUUCCCAUCUGUCUUCCUCAGUUCCUAAAACAACGUGGGUCACAGUAGCGCAUUUCUAUCGUCUGCUCUGAGCCAAAGGACUACAGCUGGCCACUUCCACUAGUGGAGACAGCUUCCCUACCUUCUCAGGGUAAGGAACACUUGUUCUCUGAGGUGGUAAGCUUUGUUGCUUGUCACGUCUUUCAAUCUGCAAUUUACAUUCAAGGUUUUCUACAAAUGGUUUCCUUCAUGAUUAAGAUGGGAUAACUCCCCCAUCUUAAAUGCAAGAUUCUGGCCACAUUUGGACCAACUUCUUGACUUCAAGGUGGAACAAAUUUAGCAGGAAACAGAAUAUUAUAGCUAUAGUAGUUCUUUAGUCUACAUUUUUUUCUUUCUUUUUUUUUCCCUUUGGUUUUUCCAGACAGGAUUUCUCUGUGCAACUCUGGCUGUCCUGGAGCUCGCUUUAUAGACCAGACUGGCCUCGAACUCACAGAGAACUGCCUGCCUCUGCCUCCCAAGUGCUGGGAUUAAAGGCGUGUGCCACCGCUGCCUGACUUAGUCUACAUUUUGCAGACCCUCAGGACUUACGUUCCUCAGUGUUAAAGACCCUCUCCAUACCCCUCCUCAAUGUUUUCAUUCUUUCCUUCAUUUCCUUUAUUAUCUUGUUUGUCAUCUCAUUGAAUCCAUUGAUUCUGUAAUUAUGAAAACAGUUUUCAUAUUUCUAAGUUUGUUCUUUUCUCCUUAUUUGGUUACAACAUAUUCCCCACCACCACCACCAUCAGUACAGUAUUUCUCCUCUCUGCCUCUCCAGUCCGUACUUAUUUAUUGUUUAGGACACAUCUCAUUUGAACCCCCCUUGCACCAGGAAAACCAAACUCCAACAUGCUCUGUUUCCUUGUGAAAACAAUUUAAUAGGCCUAGUGGAGCCAAUACCCUGGAGUUGUAGAGGAGAAAAAUAAAUUCUUGCCUUAAAUUUCCUCACCUGAAAAAUAGAAUGCAACCUUGUAAUUUUAAGGCAUGGGUUUUAUGUGAAGGUCGACUUUAAGGCAUAAAACCAUAACCAUUUGGGCUGCAUUUUAGCUGCUUUUAAGACUAUGCAAGUAUUUAUUAAGAACGAUGCUUUCAAAAUCAACAAGGGAACCCAAAUGGGACAUAAAGAUCCCUUUCCAGGAAGGAACCUUUGUUUCGACAGUAGCUGCACAUUCAGCAAGGAAGUCAAGCCCCUAUCUACGUUCUGGAACAAUCCCAGUGUCAGAUGGCCUGCUUAAUGGCUUUCCCGUUUCCAUCACUAACGGUGCCGACAGCCUACCUUUUUCUAACUGAUAUGCUGACAUUGUAAUUUAUCUUCAAAAAAAUAAAUCACAUGUUAUAGCAUUUC